GCCUAGUUAGCUUAGUUGGUAGUGCGUCUGCCUUGUAAGCGCUAGGCCGCGGGUUCGAUUCCCGCACGGGGCG
rfam:Asian citrus Psyllid, Diaphorina citri - Florida Strain, whole genome shotgun sequence.